UACGCCACUGCUAAAAUCUAUAGCGGUAUCCGUUUUAUAUGUAGUAUUUGUCCUAUGACAUAUACCCGACGCGAUACUCUUGCAAAACAUAUGAAAAAUAAACAUGGUAUGUAUUUAACAACACUUAUAUAAUAUAUUUAUUUCUUUUUAAUUGUGUUAUAAUAUUUUCGUAAGGUAUUGAACGUGUCUAACCGGUAGUAAAUCGUCCUGAAAUAGCCCCACAGCAUGCAGUUCCAUGGAACGAAAUCGAAAUUGCUCCGCAAAUUGUUGUACCAGACGUUCAAGCCAGACCGUCAAUCGACGAAGAAUUAUGGGUUGAUGACGAUGAAUUGCUUAGUUUCAUAGCAGACGGUGUGGAGAGUGCAUAUUUAUGCGAUAAUUCAGGGCCUGCUUCACUUAAAAGAUCGAAUAACUCUGAGGCUGUAGGAGUUCAAAAAAGGGCUCGUCUUAACAUUGUCGGAAAUACACCGGGUUUUAUACGAAUAGGAUCAUCUUUUAAUAAUACCAUCAACUGGUAUUAUAAAAAGAACAUUAGAAGUAUUUUCAAUUAUCUAGCGUUCCUCAUUUCAAUCAAAUAAGAACUACUCGAAAUUUUAAAAUCAUCGGCUCUACCAGUAAAAUUCAAUCUGAAAUUAGAAGCGACUUACAACAGGCCACAUAUCGAAAACUCAUCCGUCAAUAGGGCAUUUAAGACCUCUGCCAGAGCGAUUUUCGCGGAUACGAAUAUCGGAGAUAUAGUUGACCACAUGUUUGUAAAUAUUUUAACUGAGGAAGAUACAUAUCAGGGCAAAGGAAGCGGAUUUUCACUCGAGGCUAUAGAUGGUGUAUUAUUAGGGAAAACAAUGCAGUCUAUGAGGAAGCGAAUAAAGAUGGAAGUAGUAUCUAGUGAAAGUAGGCUACAGAAACUAAUAAACCGUACAACGUUCAAGUAUUGCUCAGAUUUUGAGAAUCAGAAUCUAUCGGCUGUAACAUUGGAGAAUAAAAUCAUUGAUUUUUACAAGCCAAUCUAUAUAGGCUUUGCAGUACUUGAUGUUUCAAAAUCGCUAAUGUAUGAUUAUCAUUAUAAUGUUAUGCAGGCACAUUACAAAAAUGAUAUUCAUCUGAUGUACACUGAUACAGAUUCAUUGGUAUAUUAUAUUGAGACAGAAGAUUUCUAUAAAGACCUCAAAGACAAUCCAAUCUUGAUUGAUCGGAUGGAUACAGCCAACCCACCAUCAACUCACCCAUGUUAUAUCGCAGUAUGAAGAGCUCGAUAGGAUGAUUACAUAUAUAUCAAAGGCAUAUUUUUAAUAUUUAAUAUUUAUUACGAAUUCCUAAUUUAUAGUCAACCAUACUUCAGAACGGCAUGUUGUACAUCGUAAUUCCUAUGCAACACCUGUAGAGCAAGGAAAGCGAAUUUUUGUAAAAAAUAUAAUUUAGUAGGUAAAGCGAGGUGUAACACAAUAUUCGAAAAUAAAUUCAUAAGAUUAUUAUGGCUUACAGCUAAAAUAGCUGAGUAUUCGGCAUACGAUGCAGAAAUAUUAUUAAGAAGGCUAUACGAAAAAAUAUUUAAUAUAGAAUGCGAUUCUGGUCAUGCUCGAUGGAAGAAUCAUUUGGAGUCUAAAAGUAUAAUUAAGUACACCACAUGAGAUGAGAAUUUAGUGUAUUGGACAAAACUAAUAUUUACCAUUAUAGAACAAAAUAUUAUAGAAUAUGAUGGUGUUUCAUUAAUAAGUUUAGAUUUGCAUAAUUUUAAAACUAAUUGUAAACCUAAAAAUGUUUUACUUGAUGUUUUAGGUAUUGAUUAUUUUUUUAAUAAUAUAGAGCAGUUAGAGAUGGAUAUUAGUAAGGUAUUUCGGUACAAAUAAUGAAGAGCGUUGGAAUUAACCUUACAUGUUUUCGCAUGUACAUAAGUAUAUUAUCCAUAAUAUCAAUUUU
rnacentral:misc_RNA from 1 species